UUUCUUUUUUUUUUUUUUGUUGCACAGAGAUUCCAAUUAGAAAUGUGUUUUGUGACCUUAAAAAGGAUGUGUAGUGUAAAGAGUAGAAGGCAACGAGGCAUCUCAAGUAGAAACAAGCUUUACUUUCUCCAUUAAAUGAACAAAAAGCAGAAGGCACAAGGCUCAGAGAAAAAUAUAAAAACAGGCAAAAAGAGAACAAAAGCUGAAGCCCUCCCAAAUUUUUGCUCAAAUCUUUUUUUGAUCAUUUCCACUUUGUUCCCUCUUUUCUUUCCAUGAUCAACCAAGUGUUUGAAGAGAAAUGUAAUCUGGUCAUCAUCAUCUUCUUUUUCUAAGUCCUCUUCCUAUCUUCUUAUCUCAAAAUGCAGUCUUCAGAUUCAUGAUGUUGUGUUAGACAAAUCUCAAAAAUCCCGAUGCCAAAUUGGUUAAUACUACUACUGUAAAACUAGCCUUCUUCUCUUAUCAGCUCCAGUGCUUGCAGCUUCGUCUUCAAAGUCCCAGCAAGAUGUAAUAAACCAGUGUAAUGGGAAGAGCUAUUAACAUCCCAAAUAUAACCCUACAAGAAGAUCAAAAAACAAGAAAUCCCAAGAAAUGAGAAAUCAAGUAAUACCCAAAAAGAAAAAAAGUUAUGUACUAAGUUAAUGAAAUGAUAUGAUAGCUACAGCUAAAUCAUUAUACAUCCUAAUGGGCCUAUCAUGAAAAUUGCCUUCGCAUAAACAUCCAUGAUUGCUCAUGAAAAAAGUAAAGCAUCUUUAUAGGACCGCUAUAGACUAUAGUAUCUCCACUAGGAUUGAUUAUUUUUCUUUUUUAAAUAAAAAAAAGAGUAGUCCGGCAAAGAAAUAAGAAUCAAACCCAGUGCUCAAUAUGCUAGGAUGAACAUUAUAUUCCUUCGCAAAGACAAAGGGGACAAUUCCU
rnacentral:misc_RNA from 1 species